rnacentral:rRNA from 1 species
GAUGAACGCUGGCGGCGUGCCUAAUACAUGCAAGUCGAGCGAACAGACGAGGAGCUUGCUCCUCUGAUGUUAGCGGCGGACGGGUGAGUAACACGUGGAUAACCUACCUAUAAGACUGGGAUAACUUCGGGAAACCGGAGCUAAUACCGGAUAACAUGUUGAACCGCAUGGUUCAACAGUGAAAGACGGUCUUGCUGUCACUUUUAGAUGGAUCCGCGCCGCAUUAUCUAGUUGGUAAGGUAACGGCUUACCAAGGCAACGAUGCGUAGCCGACCUGAGAGGGUGAUCGGCCACACUGGAACUGAGACACGGUCCAGACUCCUACGGGAGGCAGCAGUAGGGAAUCUUCCGCAAUGGGCGAAAGCCUGACGGAGCAACGCCGCGUGAGUGAAGAAGGUCUUCGGAUCGUAAAACUCUGUUAUUAGGGAAGAACAAAUGUGUAAGUAACUAUGCACGUCUUGACGGUACCUAAUCAGAAAGCCACGGCUAACUACGUG